AGGUGGCACAAUGGGUCACUGUGUCUGGCUGUUAACCAGAAAUUGGUGGUUCAAGCCCAGUCAGGGAUG